UGCCUUUCCAGGAAAGCUUGGCUCCUUUCAGACAGGGAGGAGCUGUUUGCCCCACAUGGGGAGGCUGGGGUUCUGGCCUCUGCCCUAGAGCUUGCAGCCAAGAGAAAGAACAGCCUUUCCAGUCAUGCCACAGCAUAGCAGCGGGCAGGACAGGGCGCAGGGGCGGGGAGAGCAGGGCAUGUCUGCACCAAGACUCCAGCGCUGGCAAAGCACGGAGACCACAGGAGCCGCAGAAGGUCACAUGACCAACAUCGACUAAUGACGAGGCCACACUCAACGGAAUGGGACUGGUCAUCGCCCAGGCAUUAUCCGAGUACAACAGGCAGUACAAAGAUAAGGAAGAGGAGCACCAGAGUGGCUUUUUCUCAGCCUUAACCAAUAUGGUGGGCAGCAUGUUCAUAGCCGAUGCCGAUGAGAAAAUCUCCGUCCAAACGAAUGAGGCAAUUCUUCUGGCCCUCUACGAAGCCGUUCACUUAAACUGGAACGACAGGAUUUGGGUUUGUAUCAUUUCGUUGCAAAAAGUUUCCACUCAUGAAGGAAGGCUGAGGGGAGAGACGAUUGAAGCCCAGCUUAAUACAGGCUCCUUGAUUGACAGCCUUAACAUAUGGAAGCUUGGGACAUGGACAUCAGAUUGUGACAUGGAAUCCCCCAUAAAAACCAUGGCCUGAGGGGUGGAGUGAACGAGCUCUGAACACUUUAAAAAAAAAAAAAGGAUUUGUGCUGCCCCUAACAUCCCUGUCUCUC